rnacentral:rRNA from 1 species
AGAGUUUGAUCAUGGCUCAGAUUGAACGCUGGCGGCAUGCCCUACACAUGCAAGUCGAACGGCAGCGCGGGGGGUAACUCCUGGCGGCGAGUGGCGAACGGGUGAGUAAUAUAUCGGAACGUGCCCAAGAGUGGGGGAUAACCAGUCGAAAGAUUGGCUAAUACCGCAUACGAUCUACGGAUGAAAGUGGGGGAUUCGCAAGAACCUCAUGCUCCUGGAGCGGCCGAUAUCUGAUUAGCUAGUUGGUGGGGUAAAAGCCUACCAAGGCGACGAUCAGUAGCUGGUCUGAGAGGACGACCAGCCACACUGGGACUGAGACACGGCCCAGACUCCUACGGG